rnacentral:rRNA from 1 species
GAUGAACGCUGGCGGCGUGCUUAACACAUGCAAGUCGAACGGAAAGGCCCAAGCUUGCUUGGGUACUCGAGUGGCGAACGGGUGAGUAACACGUGGGUGAUCUGCCCUGCACUUCGGGAUAAGCCUGGGAAACUGGGUCUAAUACUGGAUAGGACCACUUCUUGGAUGUUGUGGUGGAAAGUUUUUUCGGUGUGGGAUGAGCUCGCGGCCUAUCAGCUUGUUGGUGGGGUAAUGGCCUACCAAGGCGUCGACGGGUAGCCGGCCUGGGAGGGUGUACGGCGACAUUGGGACUGAGAUACGGCGCAGACGCCUACGGGAGGCAGCAGUGGGGAAUAUUGCACAAUGGGCGCAAGCCUGAUGCAGCGACGCCGCGUGGGGGAUGACGGCCUUCGGGUGGUAAACUCCUUUCGCUAGGGACGAAGCGUUUUGUGACGGUACCUGGAGAAGAAGCACCGGCUAACUACGUG